rnacentral:rRNA from 1 species
UACGGAGGGUGCAAGCGUUAAUCGGAAUUACUGGGCGUAAAGCGCACGCAGGCGGUCUGUCAAGUCGGAUGUGAAAUCCCCGGGCUUAACCUGGGAACUGCAUUCGAAACUGGCAGGCUAGAGUCUUGUAGAGGGGGGUAGAAUUCCAGGUGUAGCGGUGAAAUGCGUAGAGAUCUGGAGGAAUACCGGUGGCGAAGGCGGCCCCCUGGACAAAGACUGACGCUCAGGUGCGAAAGCGUGGGGAGCAAACAGG